AGGCAAGGAGAAUUCAGGGCCAACCUGGUCUACAGAGUGAGUUUCAGGACAGCCACGGCUAGCUAUAUAUAGAGUAACCAUGUCUUGAAAAAAAAAAAAAAAACGAAUAAUAAUAAUAAUAGGUCACUGAAAUAUUCUACGAAAAUGACAAUAUCUCAACAGAAAUCUACCUCCCCAUAAUUUUGGGACAGAUAAGCAAAGCUCAGUGGGGUCUGGUCGCUCGCUUUUUUUCAUUCUCUAGACUUUGGUAAGAAACCAUGAAGGCAAGAUUUUUUUUUCCAAAGAACUGAUGAGGCCACACCCAGCAACCAUGGGCUUGGAUCUGACAUCUUCCCCAGGAUAAACUAGAAGGGCCCUCGCAAAUUGAGGGAUAUGGCGAUUCCCUGAUGUCAAGAGUUAACAGCAGAAGGGAAGCUAACCCCAUCUUCACCUUCUCGGCGCCAAUCACUUUUACGCUGUGCUCUUUUGACACCAGCAAAACAUAAAGCCAGGUCUGGGGACAUUUGUCAUCUCAGCGUUCACGCAUGCUGAGGAAGGCAGGAGGGUAGAGAGUUCAAGACCAGCCUGGUCUACAGAGUAAGUUCCAGGACAGCCAGGACUACACAGAGAAACCCUGUCUCAAGAAAAAAUAAAACAAAACAAAACAGAGAUCCAUCUUCCUCUUCUGGCCUCCACGGGUAGCAGACAUACAAGUGUUACAUAGACAUACAUGCAGGCAAAACACCCAUACACAUGAAAUAAAAUUUAAAAAAUAAUAAUAACUUUCAAAAAUCAUCAUUUGAGCAGUCUGUUUUGCUGAGCUGCCUCUGAGGCUGAGUUCGGGAGGAAGGAGCCAGUCCUGAACAUGUGUACCAGGGCACCCUCUACUAGUUGAAAGCUGGAACUGCACUAACCUGUGAGGAGUCCAGUCACCAUACCCAUCGCCACAGCGAAGCUGAGAGCCCCAAUGUGAGUGACCGUCUGGGUGAUGAUCCUAGAAUGGACAAAGCAGAGAAGACAUUCAGGUAUCAGACUGCAGGCAUCGGGGACAAACAUGACAGAUGGCAUUAGUGGUGACGUUGCCAAGAAGGGCUGUAAAGAAACUAAGUGGCCUUCCCCCAGCUGCCACCUCACUACCCUGUUCCUGUAGAGCUCUGCAGAUGUAGUUGGGCCAGGAAGAGAGGUUCCACGGUCCUCUUUGGCACAUUAAAAGUUCCCACAGCCAGGCAUGGUGGCGCACGCCUUUAACCCCAGCACUUGGGAGGCAGAGGCAGGUGGAUUUCUGAGUUUGAGGCCAGCCUGGUCUACAGAGUGAGUUCCAGGACAGCCAGGGCUACACAGAGAAACCCUGUCUCGAAAAAAAACAAAAAU
rnacentral:lncRNA from 1 species